rfam:Musa acuminata subsp. malaccensis Doubled-haploid Pahang (DH-Pahang) genomic chromosome, chr2
AAGCUAAAUGAUGAGUGUGGAUCUUUAAAUCUCAUGACGGUCAUCUGAGAUGCUUUCAUUAGUGUCCAGGACGAUGCAACUCCCAUCUCUGAUGGCU